GAUGAAGAACGUAGCGAAAUGCGAUACUUGGUGUGAAUUGCAGAAUCCCGUGAACCAUCGAGUCUUUGAACGCAAGUUGCGCCCGAAGCCAUUAGGCCGAGGGCACGCCUGCCUGGGCGUCACACGUCGUUGCCCCCCCAUCUACUCCUUCGGGAUUGCGGGGGGCGGAUGAUGGCCUCCCGUGCGCCUCGUCGCGCGGUUGGCAUAAAUGACAAGUCCUCGGCGACGCACGCCACGACAAUCGGUGGUUGCGAAACCUCGGUUGCCCGUCGUGUGCGGUCGUCGCGCAUCGAGGGCUCGAAAAAAUUGCCGGGCUCCGGCUCGGCUUUCAACGCGACCCCAGGUCAGGCGGGGUUACCCGCUGAAUUUAAGCAUAUCAAUAAGCGGAGGA
rnacentral:misc_RNA from 1 species